GGAGAUGUGGCUCAAGUGGUAGAGCUCCUGCCUAGCGAGCACUAAGGCUCUGAGUUCAAACCCCAGUACCACUA
rnacentral:tRNA from 1 species